CCCGGGCUGUAGUAUCUUCUUUUGCUUGCAGAAAUCAACUGCCUGGUACUGGAUGUGAGUCCCACAGCGUCAGUGGUUUUACUUUCUCAGCAAAGUGGUUCUACAAAGGGUUUAUAUCUUGAUGCUUCAUGUGAGCAGUGCAACAUCUACUGGCCUGAAUGCAAAAUGGAGUUAUCUACUGAAAUGCGCACGAGCCGGCCCGACCUGUCCCCGUGUUGUAAUACCACUUUGUGACGCUAGAGGCUGUGUGAGUCAGCGGCGCGUCAAGUCUGCCCUCAGUCCCACGAAGAAGAACAACUUCCGGCAGAGCUCGAAGUUAGCAUCACAAAAACACAGGAAUGGUCGAACCUUCUAAAAGGCGAUAUUCAUCUGCGUCCUGAAGGACCGCUCCCGACAAGAAACCACGUUCAACGGCGAAGAAAAGAAGCAACACGAGUAAAUCUGGAUGUGACUUUUCCGCCACUGGAGAAGCUCCUGAGAGGAAAGAGAUGCGGUUUGAUGCCGAGCUCGCAACUUUCCUGUUAGCCUGGAGAUUUCAGCAUCCCUCUGUCUUCAUCAGGACCUGAGCCAGUACAGGUGUAAUACCGCCUCCACCUGUCUCACCUACGGCAGAGAGUCCAGACACAGUGAGGAGGG